UGGGGUUAAGGGAGUGGGAUGAGCUCUAUAGCCCAGUGAGGAGGAACAAUAAAACAAUUCAUUCAUUACAUGCUCUCAUGGAAUGCAUCACAUCACAAACAUGUCAUCUCACGGAUGAAUUUGUCACCAAUAGCCCUCUACUACAUGUCAUAAUAUGUCCUGCUGUGCCAAGGAGACUAGGUCAUCACCUGGACUUCUCUUAUCUGACUGGCUAUCUGUCUAUCUCAUAGUACCAGGAGCGACCUGGACUGUCCAGGAGCGACCUGGUAUGGCUAGCUCAUGCUAUAUCUCAUCUGAUCUCAUAGUAUCUCUGCUCAUAUCAAGGGCUAAGGAUCAUCCAACAUUCAUCCACACAAAUAUCAUCUUAUGCAAUGCAUCAUAUUCGUGGAUUCUAAUGCAACACAACCUAAUUCAUAACAUGGCAUUUGAUGAUGCAUGGAUCAUGCUAGAAACGUGUCAUUUCUCAAUUUAAA
rnacentral:lncRNA from 1 species